GGCCUGGAAUAACACGAGGAAACUUGUGCUAAUACCGGAUAAGUCUUUACGGAGAAAGCUUUAUGCACCAUUGGAUGAGCCCGCACUUGAUUAGUUUGUUGGUGGGGUAAUGGCCUACCAAGACUGUGAUCAAUAGCUGAUUUGAGAGGAUGAUCAGCCACAUUGGGACUGAGACACGGCCCAAACUCCUACGGGAGGCAGCAGUGGGGAAUCUUGCACAAUGGAGGAAACUCUGAUGCAGCGAUGCCGCGUGAGUGAAGAAGGCCCUUGGGUUGUAAAGCUCUUUCGUCGGGGAAGAAAAUGACUGUACCCGAAUAAGAAGGUCCGGCUAACUUCGUGCCAGCAGCCGCGGUAAUACGAAGGGACCUAGCGUAGUUCGGAAUUACUGGGCUUAAAGAGUUCGUAGGUGGUUGAAAAAGUUAGUGGUGAAAUCCCAGAGCUUAACUCUGGAACUGCCAUUAAAACUUUUCAGCUAGAGUAUGAUAGAGGAAAGCAGAAUUUCUAGUGUAGAGGUGAAAUUCGUAGAUAUUAGAAAGAAUACCAAUUGCGAAGGCAGCUUUCUGGAUCAUUACUGACACUGAGGAACGAAAGCAUGGGUAGCGAAGAGGAUUAGAUACCCUCGUAGUCCAUGCCGUAAACGAUGUGUGUUAGACGUUGGAAAUUUAUUUUCAGUGUCGCAGCGAAAGCGAUAAACACACCGCCUGGGGAGUACGACCGCAAGGUUAAAACUCAAAUGAAUUGACGGGGACCCGCACAAGUAGUGGAGCAUGUGGUUUAAUUCGAAGAUACGCGCAGAACCUUACCAACACUUGACAUGUUCGUCGCGACUCUAAGAGAUUAGAGUUUUCGGUUCGGCCGGACGAAACACAGGUGCUGCAUGGCUGUCGUCAGCUCGUGUCGUGAGAUGUUGGGUUAAGUCCCGCAACGAGCGCAACCCUCACUUUUAGUUGCCAUCAUUAAGUUGGGCACUCUGAAAGAACUGCCAGUGAUAAGCUGGAGGAAGGUGGGGAUGACGUCAAGUCCUCAUGGCCCUUACGUGUUGGGCUACACACGUGCUACAAUGGUAUCUACAACAGGAAGCAAGACUGCGAGGUCAAGCAAAUCCUUAAAAGAUACCUCAGUUCGGAUUGCACUCUGCAACUCGAGUGCAUGAAGCUGGAAUUACUAGUAAUCGUGGAUCAGCGUGCCACGGUGAAUGCGUUCCCGGGUCUUGUACACACCGCCCGUCACACCAUGGGAGUUGGUUCUACCUUAAGGCAAGGUUUCAAACCCUUGACCACGGUAUAGUCAGCGACUGGGGUGAAGUCAUAACAAGGUAGCCGUA
rnacentral:rRNA from 1 species